rnacentral:lncRNA from 12 species
CUCUCUCUCCCUCAGGCUGGAAUUGUAUGAUUGUGAAGACAUCGCGAACCUUAAAGGUUGAGAAGUGAACGGAUUAUACGGCGAACUGAGACGACGUGAAAAAGGGGAUUGGAAGCGGCAUUGAUGUGAGUACUAAGAGCCAGUCGAAAGUGCCCUGUAUAUUGACCUGGCGUUGUGUAGAUCUCUCCAGGAGGAGGAGGGCGGCCCUACCCCUAAUAUAGCGUGGUGGGAGAGCCGAAGGAAUACUUAUUGAAGUAGUCACAACGACGACAUCACUAGCUAGGCCGCAUAUUCCAUCGCCAGAUCCGAACCAAGCGAAGUGAAGGAAGACGGGUGUCCUUUUCGUACACUGAGUGUGGUGGGUGAGUCUUCGUGCUGUGAAAACCUAUAAUUUUGACGUGGUGUUGUAUAUUGCUGUGGGCUGCUGUGUAUUGCCGUGUGUCCUGUCAGAUAAACCCCCGCCUUCACGCACUUCGUCGCGGGAGGACAAGGAGACUGCUGGUCCUAGCCUAGUUCAGUACAGUAUAUGUUGUGAGCGUGCUUCAGAUCUCCGGAGAUAGCACGGUACGCUGUGUCCAGCCCAGAGGUGAAAGCCAUCCAAAGCAGAGUAACUGUGCUUUGUGUCCAAGUUGAUACCUGUGGAGAGGAAAGGAAAGAGAGAUUGAUACCUGUGGAGAGAAAAGGAGAGAGAGGGAAUAACACGAGGAGGAAUAGAGCGAACCCUGUACUUACAGUACGCUGUGUCCAGCCCAGAGGUGAGAGCCAUUCAAAGCAAACUAACUGUGCUAUUGUGCCCAAGUUGAUACCUGUGGAGAGAAAAGGAGAGAGAGUGGGUAACACGAGGAGAGACCGAGGAAACCUGUACUUACGCCGCUGCCUGUGGAGAAAGAGAAAGCGAGUGAGCACCCAAGGAACGAACUGUGUGAACCAGUACUUACUGUGAGCUGUAAUCAGCGAAGAGGUGAGAGCAAAACCAAGCUGAACUAACUGUGCCUGUGUGUCCCAGCCGUUGCCUGUGGAGAAAGAGAAA